UACGUAGGGUGCAAGCGUUGUCCGGAUUUAUUGGGCGUAAAGAGCGUGUAGGCGGCCAGGUAGGUCCGUUGUGAAAACUCGAGGCUCAACCUCGAGACGUCGAUGGAAACCAUCUGGCUAGAGUCCGGAAGAGGAGUGUGGAAUUCCUGGUGUAGCGGUGAAAUGCGCAGAUAUCAGGAAGAACACCUAUGGCGAAGGCAGCACUCUGGGACGGUACUGACGCUGAGACGCGAAAGCGUGGGGAGCGAACAGG
rnacentral:rRNA from 1 species